rnacentral:rRNA from 1 species
AGUGAACGCUGGCGGUAGGCCUAACACAUGCAAGUCGAACGGCAGCACAGUAAGAGCUUGCUCUUACGGGUGGCGAGUGGCGGACGGGUGAGGAAUACAUCGGAAUCUACUUUUUCGUGGGGGAUAACGUAGGGAAACUUACGCUAAUACCGCAUACGACCUACGGGUGAAAGCAGGGGAUCUUCGGACCUUGCGCGUUUGAAUGAGCCGAUGUCGGAUUAGCUAGUUGGCGGGGUAAAGGCCAACCAAGGCGACGAUCCGUAUCUGGUCUGAGAGGAUGAUCAGCCACACUGGAACUGAGACACGGUCCAGACUCCUACGGGAGGCAGCAGUGGGGAAUGUUGGACAAUGGGCGCAAGCCUGAUCCAUCCAUACCGCGUGGGUGAAGAAGGCCUUCGGGUUGUAAAGCCCUUUUGUUGGGAAAGAAAAGCAGCAGGUUAAUACCCCGCUGUUCUGACGGUACCCAAAGAAUAAGCACCGGCUAACUUCGUG